rnacentral:rRNA from 1 species
ACAAGCGGUGGAGCAUGUGGUUCAAUUCGACGCAACGCGAAGAACCUUACCAGCCCUUGACUUGUGACUCGCCGGCUCCAGAGACGGAGCCUUCGGUUCGGCCGGAGUCAACACAGGUGCUGCAUGGCUGUCGUCAGCUCGUGUCGUGAGAUGUUGGGUUAAGUCCCGCAACGAGCGCAACCCUCGUCUCCAGUUGCCAUCAGGUAAUGCUGGGCACUUUGGAGAAACUGCCGGUGACAAGCCGGAGGAAGUGGGGAUGACGUCAAGUCCUCAUGGCCCUUACGGGCUGGGCUACACACGUGCUACAAUGGCGGUGACAGUGGGAUGCGAAGGGGCGACCCGGAGCCGAUCCUAAAAAGCCGUCUCAGUUCGGAUUGCACUCUGCAACUCGAGUGCAUGAAGGUGGAAUCGCUAGUAAUCGAGGAUCAGCAUGCCUCGGUGAAUACGUUCCCGGGCCUU